rnacentral:tRNA from 1 species
UGUCCGGUGGUGUAAUGGUAACACAAUGGAUUUUGAUUCCAUAUAUCGAGGUUCGAAUCCUUGCCGGGCAG